rnacentral:rRNA from 1 species
AANUNCGANNNUGNAUGGGGUUGUAGCUGGUNUCUAUCUGANGCAUGUGCACGCCCUCCUUNCUCCACUCUCAACCUCUGUGCACUUACUGUAGGUCGGUGAAAGGUUCGCAUUAAUGUGAACUGGAAGCCUUCCUAUGUUUCAUUACAAACGCUUCAGUUUUAGAAUGUAACCUUUGCGUCUAACGCAUCUAUAUACAACUUUCAGCAACGGAUCUCUUGGCUCUCGCAUCGAUGAAGAACGCAGCGAAAUGCGAUAAGUAAUGUGAAUUGCAGAAUUCAGUGAAUCAUCGAAUCUUUGAACGCACCUUGCGCUCCCUGGUAUUCCGGGGAGCACGCCUGUUUGAGUGUCAUGGUAUUCUCAACCUUCAUAACUUUUGUUAUCGAAGGCUUGGACUUGGAGGUUGUGCUGGCUCUCGUUAGUCGGCUCCUCUCAAAUGCAUUAGCGUGAACGUUUGCCGAUCGCUAUCAGUGUGAUAAUUAUCUGCGCUGUUAGUGUUGAAGCAUCAUUAGUGUCGCGCUUCUAACCGUCCUUCACGGGACAAUUACUUUGACAUCUGACCUCAAAUCAGGCGGGACUACCCGCUGAACUUAAGCAUAUANUUNANNCGGAAGNA